rnacentral:rRNA from 1 species
GACGAACGCUGGCGGCGUGCUUAACACAUGCAAGUCGAACGGUGAAGCUCCAGCUUGCUGGAGUGGAUCAGUGGCGAACGGGUGAGUAACACGUGAGCAACCUGCCCCUGACUCUGGAAUAAGCGCUGGAAACGGCGUCUAAUACUGGAUACGAGAAGGGCCCGCAUGGGCACUUUCUGGAAAGUUUUUCGGUUGGGGAUGGGCUCGCGGCCUAUCAGCUUGCUGGUGAGGUAAUGGCUCACCAAGGCGACGACGGGUAGCCGGCCUGAGAGGGCGACCGGCCACACUGGGGCUGAGACACGGCCCAGACUCCUACGGGAGGCAGCAGUGGGGAAUAUUGCACAAUGGGCGAAAGCCUGAUGCAGCGACGCCGCGUGAGGGAUGACGGCCUUCGGGUUGUAAACCUCUUUCAGCAGGGAAGAAGCGAAAGUGACGGUACCUGCAGAAGAAGCACCGGCUAACUACGUG